GACGAACGCUGGCGGCGUGCUUAACACAUGCAAGUCGAACGGAAAGGCCCUGCUUUUGUGGGGUGCUCGAGUGGCGAACGGGUGAGUAACACGUGAGUAACCUGCCCUUGACUUUGGGAUAACUUCAGGAAACUGGGGCUAAUACCGGAUAGGAGCUCCUGCUGCAUGGUGGGGGUUGGAAAGUUUCGGCGGUUGGGGAUGGACUCGCGGCUUAUCAGCUUGUUGGUGGGGUAGGGGCUUACCAAGGCUUUGACGGGUAGCCGGCCUGAGAGGGUGACCGGCCACAUUGGGACUGAGAUACGGCCCAGACUCCUACGGGAGGCAGCAGUGGGGAAGAUUGCACAAUGGGCGGAAGCCUGAUGCAGCAACGCCGCGUGCUGGAUGACGGCCUUCGGGUUGUAAGCCGCUUUCGCCUGUGACGAAGCGUGAGUGACGGUAAUGGGUAAAUAAGCACCGGCUAACUACGUG
rnacentral:rRNA from 1 species